rnacentral:rRNA from 1 species
AGACGUCUACAUUAGAUACCCGCGUAGUCCCAGCCGUAAACUAUGCGCGUUAGGUGUAUCGGUGACCACGAGUCACCGAGGUGCCGAAGGGAAACCGUGAAACGUGCCGCCUGGGAAGUACGGUCGCAAGGCUGAAACUUAAAGGAAUUGGCGGGGGAGCACCACAACAGGUGGAGCCUGCGGUUUAAUUGGAUUCAACGCCGGACAUCUCACCGGAUAAGACAGCUGAAUGAUUGCCGGGCUGAAGACUCUGCAUGACUAGCUG